AGUGAACGCUGGCGGUAGGCCUAACACAUGCAAGUCGAACGGCCGCACAGUAAGAGCUUGCUCUUACGGGUGGCGAGUGGCGGACGGGUGAGGAAUACAUCGGCAUCUACUUUUUCGUGGGGGAUAACGUAGGGAAACUUACGCUAAUACCGCAUACGUCCUACGGGUGAAAGCAGGGGAUCUUCGGACCUUGCGCGAUUGAAUGAGCCGAUGUCGGAUUAGCUAGUUGGCGGGGUAAAGGCCCACCAAGGCGACGAUCCGUAGCUGGUCUGAGAGGAUGAUCAGCCACACUGGAACUGAGACACGGUCCAGACUCCUACGGGAGGCAGCAGUGGGGAAUAUUGGACAAUGGGCGCAAGCCUGAUCCAGCCAUACCGCGUGGGUGAAGAAGGCCUUCGGGUUGUAAAGCCCUUUUGUUGGGAAAGAAAAGCAGCAGGUGAAUACCCCGCUGUUCUGACGGUACCCAAAGAAUAAGCACCGGCUAACUUCGUG
rnacentral:rRNA from 1 species